rnacentral:misc_RNA from 1 species
CUCUACACUGCGCACACGGCCGCCCUCCCUGCUCGGUGGGGCAGGGCAGUGUACCAGAGAGCGACGGCAAGGGGGAAGAGAGAAGACGGCAGCACUCUCUGCACACGCACCUACACAUGUGUGGGUGUAGGCUUGCAUUGCGGUUGGGCUCGGAUGGGCACCUUGCGCGCGUGCUCACUGACCGCUCUGAUUUGCCGUCCGUUCUCAGCGCGUCAUCCGAGUGUGUAAGUGCUCCUUCUUCUUCUCUGUUCCACUUUACCCCUUCGCAGCUUCAUUUACUCAAAACGUUGGCCCCGCGCGCCGUCGCUUGCGUGAUCACGUGGUGCACGCGUGUGUGUGUGCGGGGGAGGGGGGCCAUCGAAAAAGCCCCUGCCCCCCCCCCCCUCCUCCAACAUCUGCCGCUCUCAUCCGAAUCUAUGUUUUUGUUUUCGUGACUUCUUAUAUGUGUGCGGGCGCGUUUUUGUGCACACGCACCGCCUCUUCGGUGGUGUGCGCCUGUGCAAUCAACCACCACUCUUUUUUUUUGCUCGUUGACCUGUCUGCUUCCUCCUGUAGCCGUCAUGCCCCUCCAUCCCUCCCUCCUUCGUUAGUGCGUAUGCCCAUCUUCGUUACCACCCAGUCACAGACACACGCAUGCCUCACCUCAACAUCGGCAUUACAAGUGUCAAUGUGCUGCGCACGGAAGCGUAGCUGCUGCAGGCACACACGUCACCCACUUCUUGCACACCUGCGCGCUAUGGCGAAAACAAAAGGAAACCGGGCUAACUCGAGGCACAGCAAGCGAGUCAUCAAGGGGGGGGGGCACACACAACGAGGGAGAGAAGAGUGCAAAGGACGUGCCCCUCUGCAGCUGUGGGUGGCGACUCGGGGGGUGCACGCUCGAAGAGCGUCUUUGUUCACAGCUAAGUUUUUUUUUUCGCCUCUUACGGCGUCCUAUCUGUCUCGCUUUCUCAGGGUGUGUCUGUGCGUGUUGAUGUGUUUCAUGUUCUCUUCAUUCUGUAUCGAUACCAUCAACUCUCCCCCUCUCGCCCUCCUUACCAAUCUCUAUUCGUUUACUUGCCUUGUCGAUUUUAAAGCACAGAUGUUGUUUCGACGUUGGUGCUUUCUCUUGGGUGCGCGCCCAUACCGCUCUUAUUAUUAUUAUUGUCGCCUAGGGCGCUUCUUGGCUGUGCGCUUGCGUGUCUCUGUGCCUUCUCCCUCACGUUGUAUCGCCCCCUCCCCCCCUUUCGUUCAGCUUGUGCGCCCUUGCGUGCCGCCGCCGCGGUGUGUGUCUUGGCCCUCUUGGUCCGCUUCAGCAUUUCGCCACCGCCACUUAUACCGCCUCCUUGCCUUCUCUUUUUGAUGCGCCCCUUCGCGCUUUCCUGCUUUUGUGUGUGUUGUAUGCAUGAAACCAACGAAGAUGUGCUUUCCUGCGCGCCUUCCGCUUUGCUCCGUUAUCGCGGCCGCUCUUCGUCAUGGAGGAGUGCCCCCCCCCCUCCCCUCCCCUCCCCCCACCGCACCCUCCGAAUACCUCCGACCGUUUUCUCUAUCGAUUGUUGUGUUUCAAAGAAAAGGAUAGCUUGUUUCGUCCUUCCUCUGUGUGUCGACGUGCUUGCGUGUUUGAGUGCGUGCGACCGAUAGCCGGCGGCUCUACCUCCGUGCCGUUCUCUGCUUUUAGUUCAUCAUCAUUUGUGUGCUUUUGUCACCUGCUGGACUCUCUUUCACUCUCUCACCAGUUCUCCGUCACUGUGGCACUCCCCGUACGCUCGGGCUUCUUUGGGUGGGCCCAUCAUGCUUUUCUCUCUGCGUUGUCGCCCUUGUUCGUCUGCUGUCACACCCUGCGUGGGCUGCGUAGCGAAGGCGUCGCGGGGUCAAAGGAUGUAGAGUAUCCGAGAGGUAGUGGAGCGGCGUAUCGGUCUUGGGAGUUGCUUACGAAGGGCCGAGCUGAUGAGCAGAUCUCUGAACUCAGGUUGUUGGACGACUGCCCUCUGGAGCCUCCUCACCUACUCCUUGCGCUCUCUCGCCGGGAUAUGCUUGCGUGCACUAGUGCCUCGUGCACUCCUCGCGUUUUUGGCCUGCUAUCCUCCCUUCUCUUGAGGUGACAUAGCCGCCGCCUCCCUUCGAAUUUAGAUCAAGCACGACGAAAUGGCGUACUCUGAAGACGUAAAGGGGCAGUCCUGAAGAUUCGUCGGGGGUUUUUACUCUUCCCCCUCCCCCACGCAAUCGACCCCUUGUUGUAUUCUGCAGGUUGCGGUGAGGGGCUCAUACGAAGGUAAUGCGGUACCGCGCAAUGCUUGCUCUGCUAUCCUACCUGCCCGGCUGCCUUUACAUGCGAUGACGGGCUUUUUCGUCGUCUCUCUUUUGCGGCUCCGUUUACGACCUCUGCUUUUUGUGCCAACUUCACUGUUGACCCGUUCUUGCCAUGCAUACAUACAUAUACGCAUAUAUAUAUAUAUAUCUUCUCUUUUAUACGCCCCUGGAG